rnacentral:rRNA from 1 species
GACGAACGCUGGCGGCGUGCCUAAUACAUGCAAGUCGAACGCAGUGGGGACGGGUGAGUAACACGUGGGUAACCUCCCAUCAGAGGGGAUAACACUUGGAAACAGGUGCUAAACCGAUACUGAUGGAUGAACCCGCGGUGCAUUAGCUAGUUGGUGAGGUAACGGCUCACCAAGGCCACGAUGCAUAGGCGGCCUGAGGGGGGGUAUGGCCACACUGGGGAUGAGGACCGGCCCAAACUCCUACGGGGGGCCGGCGUAGGGAAUCUUCGGCAAUGGACGAAAGUCUGACCGAGCAACGCCGCGUGAGUGAAGAAGGUUUUCGGAUCGUAAAACUCUGUUGUUAGAGAAGCGGUAUCUAACCAGAAAGCCACGGCUAACUACGUGCCAGCAGCCGCGGUAAUUC